AUUGAACGCUGGCGGCAUGCCUUACACAUGCAAGUCGAACGGUAACGGGCCUUCGGGUGCCGACGAGUGGCGAACGGGUGAGUAAUGUAUCGGAACGUACCUUUCAGUGGGGGAUAACGUAGAGAACGUUACGCUAAUACCGCAUAUUCUGUGAGCAGGAAAGCAGGGGAUCGCAAGACCUUGUCCUGAUUGAGCGGCCGAUAUCAGAUUAGCGAGUUGGUGAGAUAAAGGCUCACCAAGGCGACGAGCUGUAGCGGGUCUGAGAGGAUGAUCCGCCACACUGGAACUGAGACACGGUCCAGACUCCUACGGGAGGCAGCAGUGGGGAAUUUUGGACAAUGGGGGCAACCCUGAUCCAGCCAUGCCGCGUGAGUGAAGAAGGCCUUCGGGUUGUAAAGCUCUUUCGGCCGGGAAGAAAUCGCAUCAGCUAAUACCUGGUGUGGAUGACGGUACCGGAAUAAGAAGCACCGGCUAACUACGUGCCAGCAGCCGCGGUAACAC
rnacentral:rRNA from 1 species